rnacentral:hammerhead_ribozyme from 1 species
AUGCAGCUGACGAGUCCCAAGUAGGACGAAACGCGAGUCCUGGAC